ACAUUCAUAAAAUUAAAACACUUUCAACUAUAUAAGCUUAAACCUUUUAGGAAAAUACAUCAGAGUGCUAAUAACCAGCAAAAUGAACGGAAAAGUAUUUAUUUUAACCCUUCUAGUACUAUCAUGUGUCAUUGCGACAGUUUACAGUUCACCUGAACCUGGAUCUGAUGCUAUUCGAGUGAACCCAUCGAACUCUGCCCAGAACACCAAUAAUCAGGACACUGAGGGCUCACAAAAACAAAGCAAAAGGAGAGGCCUGCACUUACCAUUUCUACCUUAAAUAGUGGCUGCCAUCUCGACAGUCCAGAUUAUAAGUCGUUACUCACAUACCUACUGUUGCAAUCUAAACAGUUCAACAAAAUCUUGUACAUACAAAAUGAUAUAAACAAUCUUGAUUACGUUAGGUUUGUGAGAAGCCGACUUUACUUGAAGACAAACUUCAUGUUAUAAAUAAAAAUAUAAAAAACA